AUAUCUCUCUGUACGGGAAGGAUGAGAAGCUUCGACUAAGGUUCGAUUCGAGCGCAGCGAGAAAGCGUUGCCGCAGGCAACGACCCGAAGGGCGAAGCGCGCA
rnacentral:sRNA from 1 species